UACGUAGGUGGCAAGCGUUGUCCGGAUUUACUGGGCGUAAAGGAUGCGUAGGCGGACAUUUAAGUCAGAUGUGAAAUACCCGAGCUUAACUUGGGUGCUGCAUUUGAAACUGGGUGUCUAGAGUGCAGGAGAGGUAAGUGGAAUUCCUAGUGUAGCGGUGAAAUGCGUAGAGAUUAGGAAGAACACCAGUGGCGAAGGCGACUUACUGGACUGUAACUGACGCUGAGACACGAAAGCGUGGGGAGCAAACAGG
rnacentral:rRNA from 1 species